GACGAACGCUGGCGGCGUGCCUAAUACAUGCAAGUCGAACGCAGUGGGGACGGGUGAGUAACCCGUGGGUAACCUCCCAUCAGAGGGGAUAACACUUGGAAACAGGUACUAAACCGAUACUGAUGGAUGGACCCGCGGUGCAUUAGCUAGUUGGGGAGGUAACGGCUAACCAAGGCCACGGUGCAUAGACGACCGGGGAUGGUGAUCGGCACCACUGGGACGUAGGAACGGCCCAGACUCCUACGGGAGGGAGCAGUAGGGAAUCUUCGGCAAUGGACGAAAGUCUGACCGAGCAACGCCGCGUGAGUGAAGAAUGUUUUCGGAUCGUAAAGCUCUGUUGUUAGAGAAGCGGUAACUAACCAGAAAGGGACGGCUAACUACGUGCCAGCCGCCGCGGUAAUAC
rnacentral:rRNA from 1 species